rnacentral:rRNA from 1 species
UACGGAGGGUGCGAGCGUUGUCCGGAAUCAUUGGGCGUAAAGGGCGCGUAGGCGGCCUGCUAAGUCGAACGUGAAAUCCCUGGGCUCAACCCAGGAACUGCGUCCGAUACUGGUUGGCUUGAAUCCGGGAGAGGGAUGUGGAAUUCCAGGUGUAGCGGUGAAAUGCGUAGGUAUCUGGAGGAACACCGGUGGCGAAGGCGACAUCCUGGACCGGUAUUGACGCUGAGGCGCGAAAGCCAGGGGAGCAAACGGG